GUGCCUGCUUUGUCAGCACAUAUACUAAAAUUGGAACAAUACAAAGAAGAUUAGAAUGGCCUUUUGAACAAGGAUGCUACGCAAAUUCAGCUGAUAAAUGUCUUU
ensembl:snRNA U6 U6 spliceosomal RNA